CGGCGCCGGAGAUUCGCUAGCCCAGCGCCCUGCGCGGCCGCCCGCCGCCUCCCGCCAGCCGGUCCCGACCCGCGGAGCGACCACCGAGCCGCGCCCGAGCCAGCCCCGCGGCAGGAAACGAUGAAGGGGGAUACCAGACACCUCAGUGAAGAGGAGGGCGCCAGCGGGAGGGAGGACUCCAUCAUUCUCAUCAACGGGGCCAGCAGUGACCAGUCCUCCGACUCCAAGGACGCCCCUUCGCCCCCCAUCCUGGAGGCUAUCCGCUCACCCGAGAUCAGAGGCCGCAGAUCCAGCUCCCGCCUGUCCAAGAGGGAGGUCUCCAGCCUAAUCAGCUACACUCAGGAUCUGACAGGGGAAGCAGAUGGUGAAGAAGAUGGGGACAGCUCUGAGGCUCCUGUGAUGCCAAGACUAUUCCGGGAAACCAGGACCCGCUCUGCAAGCCCAGCAGUCCGAACCCGAAAUAGCAACAACAGUGCCUCCAGUCGGGAGAGGUACAAGUCCUUCCCACAUCCCACCCGAGGCCGCCAGGGCCGCAGUCACGUGGACGAGUCUCCCGUGGAGUUCCCGGCUACCAGGUCCCUAAGGCGGCGGUCAACAGCCUCGCCAGGUACGCCGUGGCCAUCCCCGUCCACUCCUUACCUCACCAUCGACCUCACGGAGGACGAUGUGACACCACAGAGCAGCAGUACCCCCUGCGCCAGCCUAGCUGAGAGCCAGCAGGAGAACUCGGAGACCUCCCAGGUGGACGCAGAGGGGAGAGACUCCGACAACACUGAGUACCAGGAUGGGAAGGAGUUUGGAAUAGGGGACCUGGUAUGGGGCAAGAUCAAGGGCUUCUCCUGGUGGCCUGCCAUGGUGGUUUCUUGGAAGGCUACCUCCAAGCGCCAGGCCAUGUCCGGCAUGCGAUGGGUCCAGUGGUUUGGUGAUGGCAAGUUCUCUGAGGUCUCUGCAGACAAACUGGUGGCCUUGGGGCUGUUCAGUCAGCAUUUUAACCAGGCCACCUUCAAUAAACUGGUGUCAUACAGGAAGGCCAUGUACCAGGCCCUGGAGAAAGCCAGGGUACGAGCUGGCAAGACCUUCCCCAGCAGCCCUGGAGACUCUUUGGAGGACCAGCUGAAGCCCAUGUUGGAGUGGGCCCACGGGGGCUUCAAGCCCACUGGGAUCGAGGGCCUCAAACCCAACAACAACCAACCAGUGGUUAAUAAAUCGAAGGUGCGUCGUGCAGGCAGUAGGAAGUUAGAAUCAAGGAAACACGAGAACAAGAGUCGAAGACGCACCACUGAUGAUUCAGCUGCCUCUGACCACUGUCCCCCAAACAAGCGCCUCAAGACAAACUGCUAUAACAAUGGCAAGGACCGUGGAGAGGAAGAUCAGAGCCGAGAACAAAUGGUUUCUGAUGUUACCAACAACAAGAACAAUCUGGAAGAUAGCUGUUUGUCCUGUGGUAGAAAAAACCCCGUGUCCUUCCACCCGCUCUUUGAGGGGGGGCUUUGCCAGACGUGCCGGGAUCGCUUCCUUGAGUUGUUCUACAUGUACGACGACGAUGGUUAUCAGUCCUACUGCACCGUGUGCUGUGAGGGCCGUGAGCUGCUUCUCUGCAGCAACACAAGCUGUUGCCGGUGCUUCUGUGUGGAGUGUCUGGAGGUGCUGGUGGGCAAGGGCACAGCGGAGGACGCCAAGCUGCAGGAGCCCUGGAGCUGCUACAUGUGUCUCCCCCAGCGCUGCCACGGAGUCCUGCGGCGCCGGAAGGACUGGAAUGUCCGCCUGCAGACCUUCUUCACCAGCGACAUGGGGCUUGAAUACGAGGCCCCCAAGUUGUACCCUGCGAUUCCCGCAGCCAAAAGGCGGCCCAUUAGAGUCCUGUCACUAUUCGAUGGAAUUGCCACAGGUUACUUGGUCCUCAAAGACUUGGGCAUUAAAGUGGAAAAGUAUGUCGCCUCAGAAGUGUGUGAAGAAUCCAUCGCCGUUGGAACCGUGAAGCACGAGGGAAACAUCAAAUAUGUGAAUGACGUCAGGAACAUCACAAAGAAAAAUAUUGAAGAGUGGGGUCCAUUUGAUUUGGUGAUCGGUGGAAGCCCAUGCAAUGACCUAUCAAAUGUGAAUCCUGCCCGGAAAGGCCUGUAUGAGGGCACUGGCCGACUCUUCUUCGAAUUCUACCACCUGCUCAAUUACUCACGCCCCAAAGAAGGGGAUGACCGGCCAUUCUUCUGGAUGUUUGAGAAUGUUGUAGCCAUGAAGGUUGGCGACAAAAGGGACAUCUCACGGUUCCUGGAGUGUAACCCAGUGAUGAUUGAUGCCAUCAAAGUUUCUGCUGCUCACAGGGCUAGAUACUUCUGGGGAAACCUACCUGGGAUGAACAGGUAACAGGGGACUCUUAGUGGGACCCCAGGUAACAGCCAAGAGAAAUUCAGAUGUUAGCUUUCACAUUCCAGUCUUCUAGAAAGUGCUGUCUGUACUGAGAAACAACCCCAGUCUGGGCUUCAGAACAAUCUGCAGUAUCUCAGGGCUGAUUCCUGUUUGGUAUUUCAAGGAAUCUUGGGCCAGGACUUGAGGCCUACUUAUUUGUUCCUGAUGGUGAGCAGACAGGCCUGGUUCUUAAGAGUGCCAGGUGCUGGAGCCAUGUUGAUGCCAGGGAUGCCUCUUGUUGUUCCUUCUGGGCUCUGCCUUUCCUCCCAGCUGCCAUAACAGUACCCGUCAGGACAUGGAAAUUGUUAUGAUUCCCAUUCCCCUUGAAAUAAAGGAUCUGGACCAGGUGUGUGACAGAGUUGAGAUGAUAAAUGGUAGGCCCCAAACAUCUCCCUGAGGUUUCCUAACAUUUCCACCUUUGCAUUUUUUUUACCAGAGCUAGCUCAGAUCUCUUUAGAUAGACCCACAACAAGGGGUUUUGCCAAGGAUUGAAUAUUGUGUCUAUUCAUGGUUUAAGAACAACUCGUUAAUUAAGAUGCAAAAUGUGGCAACUGACAUCCCAGUUCUGGGAAAAUGUUAGCUUGAAACACCUUCUUUUACUAGGGAAUGUUGGAAGCAUGAUAAUUUUCUGGCAUUUACCAAAAUGUGAGUAGAGGUGAGGGGGUUUUAGAGUGGUUCUGAGAAUUUCUGUUGGAUAUCAUAUCUUUUUAAUUGGUUCGUCAGCCAAUCAAAUGGUAUCAUGUUCACGUUUAGACCCAGACACCAUUGUGCUGCUGCCAAUCUAGGAUUGGACACAUUGAUAUGCUAAAGGAUGAUCACAGGUUCACGUUGGGGGUGGGCUUUGGGAAGGUUCAUAGGUAUCCCGUUUCUUGGUGGAGUGUGGGUGAGUCGAUGGGUGCUGCCACCGAGCUCUCUGGGGUUAUGGGUGCGUGUCGAGCAGAGACCAGGGGCUGAGACCUGAAAUCAUCUAGUUUGUGUAAGUCACACCAGGCUAGUCUUUACUAGUCUGUGGUUUUGCCCUGCCCUGUUGCAAUAGAGGGACAGGAAUAGGGUGACUUUGGAAACCUAGAAAGUGAGGAGGAGGAGGUCUGCAGUCUAGCGAGAGGUUUUGUGUGGUUCCUCGGCCUCAGUGGACAGUUUCCACCUUCAUGUACGAGUUCCUUCUGGCCUUAAUAACCGGGGACUGCCCUGUGUUCAGCCACUCUGCUUGCAGAUGUCUUGUGCCUUUCCGCCCUGGAACUGCUCAAAUGCUUUGCGUCUGUCCCUUGCCCUUCUUGGGCCUGUUUGCUUUGCUUUAUUUGCAAAAUAGGUUUCCAGAGUUAACUGUUAAGAGCCCAAUUGAUCCUUAUGUGACACCUCCCCAUCACUUUCCCGUGGGGCUCACCCCACCUUCCAGCGUCCUCAGCCUGCAUCCCCAGUAAUGAGCCAUCAAUUCUGUUUGCUGUCCUGGUGUAUCAAGUAGUCCCACCAAAAUCCAGCCCCAGCUCUUCCUAUAAAACCGAAGCUCAGUUCUGGAGCACCUAGCAUGCACGAGUCCCUGGUUUCCCCGCCAGCACUUCCUUCCAUGGAGCUGGCUUGACUUGAUCAAUGAGCAAACCGAGGGAAUCUCUGUCUCCCUGUCCACUGUUCCCUCCUUUCCUCAGAGGUAGCAUGGCUUUGACCGAUGCCAAAACUCAGGAGGUGAGGCAGUAGCUGCAGAUAUUGGACCGUCCCCUCCAGCGGCAGGUCCAUCCUUGGCACCCAGACUAGUCCUUAGGCCUAGUGUGUUGCCCAUCACAUGACAGGAGCAUGUUCACUGCUUGGACCCAUUUUUGCAGCAAAGACCCUCCCUCCUCCCACCCUGGGAGGGGCCUGAGCAAGGCCUUUGCAGAGGGUAGAAAGUAAUGGGUUUUGGCUGUCCCCAGGCCUGUGAUAGCAUCAAAGAAUGAUAAGCUCGAGCUGCAGGACUGCUUGGAAUUCAGUAGGACUGCAAAGGUAAGGUGUGCUCCCAGAUGGCCGCCCCACCACCCUCCUGAAUGCGCACUGGGUGACCCCAAGGCGGGUACUUAGAAAGUGACCUUGGUGGUGUGUCCUAUUGGUGUCUACUCCCCUCUCUCCAUGUGACUGUGGUACUGGGCCUCUUUCUCCCACACAACUGUUCUGUUCUUAAGUGUAGGAGACAUUCUUGAUAAACAAGUAAUCACUGUGGGAAACAGACAACUUGCCUCCAAUUGUUAAUGCUGGAUACAUAAGAGGCAAUUUCAGCUGGCCCUUCCAGUAAUAAACGUAAAUGAUGCUCUUGCAAAAAAAUUAUUUACUGUCACAUCACAGAUAAAUACAUUAAGACGUCUGUGAACCUAAUUCUCCAUGUCUGCAUCAAGCGAAGAACCAUUUCUCCAAACUCUGGCUGCCUUUUAUUUAUAAUAACUCUGUCUUCUUGGCCCUGGCCCCCCCUCCCGGUGAUCUCAUGCAUAGGUACCUGGUGCUCAUUUCAUUCUCUCAAGGCUGGUCUUUGCUGCGCCUUACCUUCUUGGCAUUUGUGGGAAGCACACAAUGUUCUUGUCCUUCGUGAGCUCCUUUUCUCACUCUGGCUGCCAGCUCUACCCUGCCCCGUCUCCCACACACCUGCCCUCUGUGCUCCAUCCAUCUUUUCUCAGGGCUUUUGAGCCUUGAAUCCCACCUGGAACCUUUCCUGCUGUGCUUACUCCGUGAUAUAUCGUUUUGUUCUCCAGUUAAAGAAAGUGCAGACAAUAACCACCAAGUCCAACUCCAUCAAACAGGGGAAAAACCAACUUUUCCCUGUUGUCAUGAAUGGCAAAGAAGAUGUUUUGUGGUGCACUGAGCUCGAAAGGAUCUUCGGUUUUCCUGUGCACUACACGGAUGUGUCCAACAUGGGCCGUGGUGCCCGCCAGAAGCUGCUUGGUCGGUCCUGGAGUGUGCCCGUCAUCCGACACCUCUUCGCCCCCCUGAAGGACUACUUUGCAU